rnacentral:lncRNA from 1 species
UUCGUUAACUCAGGCCAGCAGCAGACUCAGAAUGCCUUAGUGAAGUUUGGAAGGAAGAAGAGUGAAUGCAAAUUUGGAAAUGACGGAUUAUUUCUAAUUCCAUCAGGUAAACAAAACAAAGAAGCAAAUAUUCACAUGAAAAUCUUCCACAAGCUCAACCUAGAUGAGAAGGUGAAUGAAUAUUGAUUUUCUAGGCAAAACAGAAAUGAAAGUGAGACAACUUCCAAAAUGUCCCAAAGAGUGUCCCAGGAAAAAGUAGAAAAAGCAGGCACAUGGAUGUACACACACACAAACAGAGGAGUUUUUCUGUGGUUUCCUGCUUGCUGAAAAAGGAUGGGAGCCAUUUCAUAAGGAUUUAACAACUGAAAUACUUGGGACAAUAUUUCUUCUCAAAACCAUUCAAAUUUGUCACUGUCAACAUGUAAAUGGACUGGGAGAAGAAUGAGAUUCAGCAGCUUUGUUCUAAAUGUACCGUAUCUGAGGAGCUGUUUAUCUGUGUUCAGAACUGACUGCAUUUCAUAGCAGUCAGCAAAGGUUUUUAUGUGUGGAGUAUCUACAUCAGUUCAGAAUUAGGUUCCUUGCAGCCCCAUUAUUCAGAGUUUGAUGGCUUCUAAGAUUUCUUUGUAUGGUAGGAAAAGGUAGAAUGUUUUAAAAUAAUAGCUGUUUAUUAUCAUUUGCAACAAAAUGUUUUUGUUGAAUUGAGAGUUUUAAUCAAAAAUCUUGAAGGACUCUUUUCAAAAUCUACAUAUUAAAAAUUCAUGUUGAUAUCUUAAAGAAUUUUCCUAAAAAAUAAACUUGGAUAGUAUUUUGGGGAAUCA